rnacentral:rRNA from 1 species
AUUGAACGCUGGCGGCAUGCCUUACACAUGCAAGUCGAACGGCAGCACGGGGCAACCUGGUGGCGAGUGGCGAACGGGUGAGUAAUGCAUCGGAACGUACCUUUCAGUGGGGGAUAACGUAGCGAAAGUUACGCUAAUACCGCAUAUUCUGUGAGCAGGAAAGCAGGGGAUCGCAAGACCUUGCGCUGAUUGAGCGGCCGAUGUCAGAUUAGCUAGUUGGUGAGGUAAAGGCUCACCAAGGCGACGAUCUGUAGCGGGUCUGAGAGGAUGAUCGGCCACACUGGAAAUGAGACACGGUCCAGACUCCUACUGGAGGCAGUAGGGGGGAAUUUUGGACAAUGGGGGCAACCCUGAUCCAGCCAUGCCGCGUGAGUGAAGAAGGCCUUCGGGUUGUAAAGCUCUUUCGGCCGGGAAGAAAUCGCACGGGCUAAUACCCUGUGUGGAUGACGGUACCGGAAUAAGAAGCACCGGCUAACUACGUGCCAGCCGCCGCAGUAACAC